GUGGAUGUAGCUCAGUGGUAGAGCCCCGGAUUGUGGAUCCGGUGGUCGCGGGUUCAAGCCCCGUCAUCCACCCCA
rnacentral:tRNA from 1 species